GACGGGGGAUGCAAGCGUUAUCCGGAAUCACUGGGCGUAAAGCGUCUGUAGGUGGUGAUGCAAGUCACUGGUGCAAAACUCUGGCUCAACCGGAGGAAAGCCAGUGAAACAGCAUGACUAGAGUGUGGGAGAGGUAGAAGGAAUUCCCUGAGUAGCGGUGAAAUGCGUAGAUACAGGGAAGAACACCGGAGGCGAAAGCGUUCUACUGGAACACAACUGACACUGAGAGACUAAGGCUAGGGGAGCGAAUGGG
rnacentral:rRNA from 1 species